GGGUUGUGAGGUUAAGCGACUAAGCGUACACGGUGGAUGCCCUGGCAGUCAGAGGCGAUGAAGGACGUGCUAAUCUGCGAAAAGCGUCGGUAAGGUGAUAUGAACCGUUAUAACCGGCGAUGUCCGAAUGGGGAAACCCAGUGCAAUUCGUUGCACUAUCGUUAACUGAAUACAUAGGUUAACGAGGCGAACCGGGGGAACUGAAACAUCUAAGUACCCCGAGGAAAAGAAAUCAACCGAGAUUCCCCCAGUAGCGGCGAGCGAACGGGGAGCAGCCCGGAGUCUGAAUCAGCUUGUGUGUUAGUGGAAGCGUCUGGAAAGUCGCAGGGUACAGGGUGAUACUCCCGUACACUAAAACACACAGGCUGUGAACUCGAAGAGUAGGGCGGGACACGUGGUAUCCUGUCUGAAUAUGGGGGGACCAUCCUCCAAGGCUAAAUACUCCUGACUGACCGAUAGUGAACCAGUACCGUGAGGGAAAGGCGAAAAGAACCCCGGCGAGGGGAGUGAAAAAGAACCUGAAACCGUGUACGUACAAGCAGUAGGAGCCCNNGGGUGACUGCGUACCUUUUGUAUAAUGGGUCAGCGACUUAUAUUCUGUAGCAAGGUUAACCGUAUAGGGGAGCCGCAGGGAAACCGAGUCUUAACUGGGCGUUAAGUUGCAGGGUAUAGACCCGAAACCCGGUGAUCUAGCCAUGGGCAGGUUGAAGGUUGGGUAACACUAACUGGAGGACCGAACCGACUAAUGUUGAAAAAUUAGCGGAUGACUUGUGGCUGGGGGUGAAAGGCCAAUCAAACCGGGAGAUAGCUGGUUCUCCCCGAAAGCUAUUUAGGUAGCGCCUCGUGAAUUCAUCUUCGGGGGUAGAGCACUGUUUCGGCUAGGGGGUCAUCCCGACUUACCAACCCGAUGCAAACUACGAAUACCGAAGAAUGUUAUCACGGGAGACACACGGCGGGUGCUAACGUCCGUCGUGAAGAGGGAAACAACCCAGACCGCCAGCUAAGGUCCCAAAGUCAUGGUUAAGUGGGAAACGAUGUGGGAAGGCCCAGACAGCCAGGAUGUUGGCUUAGAAGCAGCCAUCAUUUAAAGAAAGCGUAAUAGCUCACUGGUCGAGUCGGCCUGCGCGGAAGAUGUAACGGGGCUAAACCAUGCACCGAAGCUGCGGCAGCGACACUAUGUGUUGUUGGGUAGGGGAGCGUUCUGUAAGCCGUUGAAGGUGGCCUGUGAGGGUUGCUGGAGGUAUCAGAAGUGCGAAUGCUGACAUAAGUAACGAUAAUGCGGGUGAAAAACCCGCACGCCGGAAGACCAAGGGUUCCUGUCCAACGUUAAUCGGGGCAGGGUGAGUCGACCCCUAAGGCGAGGCCGAAAGGCGUAGUCGAUGGGAAACAGGUUAAUAUUCCUGUACUUGGUGUUACUGCGAAGGGGGGACGGAGAAGGCUAUGUUGGCCGGGCGACGGUUGUCCCGGUUUAAGCAUGUAGGCGGAUGUUCCAGGUAAAUCCGGAACGUCACUAACGCUGAGGUGUGAUGACGAGGCACUACGGUGCUGAAGUGACAAAUGCCCUGCUUCCAGGAAAAGCCUCUAAGCAUCAGGUAACAUCAAAUCGUACCCCAAACCGACACAGGUGGUCAGGUAGAGAAUACCAAGGCGCUUGAGAGAACUCGGGUGAAGGAACUAGGCAAAAUGGUGCCGUAACUUCGGGAGAAGGCACGCUGAUGGUAGGUGAAGUGACUUGCUCACGGAGCUGAAAUCAGUCGAAGAUACCAGCUGGCUGCAACUGUUUAUUAAAAACACAGCACUGUGCAAACACGAAAGUGGACGUAUACGGUGUGACGCCUGCCCGGUGCCGGAAGGUUAAUUGAUGGGGUUAUCCUCACGGAGAAGCUCUUGAUCGAAGCCCCGGUAAACGGCGGCCGUAACUAUAACGGUCCUAAGGUAGCGAAAUUCCUUGUCGGGUAAGUUCCGACCUGCACGAAUGGCGUAAUGAUGGCCAGGCUGUCUCCACCCGAGACUCAGUGAAAUUGAACUCGCUGUGAAGAUGCAGUGUACCCGCGGCAAGACGGAAAGACCCCGUGAACCUUUACUAUAGCUUGACACUGAACACUGGUCCUUGAUGUGUAGGAUAGGUGGGAGGCUUUGAAGUGUGGACGCCAGUCUGCAUGGAGCCAUCCUUGAAAUACCACCCUUUAAUGGCUGGUGUUCUAACGUGGGCCCCUAAUCGGGGUUGCGGACAGUGUCUGGUGGGUAGUUUGACUGGGGCGGUCUCCUCCUAAAGAGUAACGGAGGAGCACGAAGGUCAGCUAAUCCUGGUCGGACAUCAGGAGGUUAGUGCAAUGGCAUAAGCUGGCUUGACUGCGAGCGUGACGGCGCGAGCAGGUGCGAAAGCAGGUCAUAGUGAUCCGGUGGUUCUGAAUGGAAGGGCCAUCGCUCAACGGAUAAAAGGUACUCCGGGGAUAACAGGCUGAUACCGCCCAAGAGUUCAUAUCGACGGCGGUGUUUGGCACCUCGAUGUCGGCUCAUCACAUCCUGGGGCUGAAGUAGGUCCCAAGGGUAUGGCUGUUCGCCAUUUAAAGUGGUACGCGAGCUGGGUUUAGAACGUCGUGAGACAGUUCGGUCCCUAUCUGCCGUGGGCGCUGGAGAAUUGAGGGGGGCUGCUCCUAGUACGAGAGGACCGGAGUGGACGCAUCACUGGUGUUCGGGUUGUCAUGCCAAUGGCAUUGCCCGGUAGCUAAAUGCGGAAGAGAUAAGUGCUGAAAGCAUCUAAGCACGAAACUUGCCCCGAGAUGAGUUCUCCCUGACUCCUUGAGAGUCCUGAAGGAACGUUGAAGACGACGACGUUGAUAGGCCGGGUGUGUAAGCGCAGCGAUGCGUUGAGCUAACCGGUACUAAUGAACCGUGAGGCUUAACCUUACAACGCCGAAG
rnacentral:rRNA from 1 species